AAUCAACGCUGGCGGCGUGCCUAACACAUGCAAGUCGAACGCGGUUAUCCAGCAAUGGAUGACUGAGUGGCGAACGGGUGAGUAACACGUGGGUGACCUACCUUCGAGUGGGGGAUAACGUCCCGAAAGGGACGCUAAUACCGCAUAACAUCCUGCCUUUGAACAGGCGGUGAUCAAAGCCGGGGACCGUAAGGCCCGGCGCUUGAUGAGGGGCUCGCGUCUGAUUAGCUAGUUGGUGAGGUAACGGCCCACCAAGGCGACGAUCAGUAUCCGGCCUGAGAGGGCGGACGGACACACUGGGACUGAGACACGGCCCAGACUCCUACGGGAGGCAGCAGUGGGGAAUUGUUCACAAUGGGCGCAAGCCUGAUGACGCAACGCCGCGUGGAGGAUGAAGGUCUUCGGAUUGUAAACUCCUGUUGCCCGGGACGAAAAGCUCUGACCUAACACGUCGGAGUCUGACGGUACCGGGUGAGGAAGCCCCGGCUAACUCUGUGCCAGCAGCCGCGGUAAUACAGAGGGGGCAAGCGUUGUUCAGAAUUACUGGGCGUAAAGGGCUCGUAGGCGGCCAACUAAGUCAUACGUGAAAUCCCUCAGCUUAACUGGGGAACUGCGUGUGAUACUGGAUGGCUUGGAUUUGGGAGAGGGAUGCGGAAUUCCAGGUGUAGCGGUGAAAUGCGUAGAUAUCUGGAGGAACACCGGUGGCGAAGGCGGCAUCCUGGACCAAUAUUGACGCUGAGGAGCGAAAGCCAGGGGAGCAAACGGGAUUAGAUACCCCGGUAGUCCUGGCCCUAAACGAUGAAUGCUUGGUGUAGCGGGUAUCGAUCCCUGCUGUGCCGAAGCUAACGCAU
rnacentral:rRNA from 1 species